rnacentral:misc_RNA from 1 species
GAUGAAGAACGCAGCAAAAUGCGAUAAGUAAUGUGAAUUGCAGAAUUCAGUGAAUCAUCGAAUCUUUGAACGCACAUUGCGCCCUCUGGUAUUCCGGGGGGCAUGCCUGUUCGAGCGUCAUUAUAACCACUCAAGCUCUCGCUUGGUAUUGGGGUUCGCGGUUCCGCGGCCCCUAAAAUCAGUGGCGGUGCCUGUCGGCUCUACGCGUAGUAAUACUCCUCGCGAUUGAGUCCGGUAGGUCUACUUGCCAGCAACCCCCAAUUUUUACAGGUUGACCUCGGAUCAGGUAGGGAUACCCGCUGAACUUAAGCAUAUCAAUAAGCGGAGGA